AGAGGGCGUAAUUGUACGUCCUCCGGUUUUAAGGGGUUAAAAGAAGAAAAACUACCACAACAAGAGGACAUAAUCUUAAAUUAGAGGGGCAAAGGUUCAAAAAUAUCAGGAAGAAUUACUUUACUGAGAGAGUAGUGGAUGUAUGGAAUAACCUUCCCAGCUGAAGUGGUAGAGGUUAACACAGUAAAGGAGUUUAAGCAUGUGUGGGAUAUGCAUAAGGCUAUCCUAACUAGAAGAUAAGGUCAGGGACUAAUGAAAGUAUUUAAAAAAAAUUGGGCAGACUAGAUGGGCUGGAUGGUUUUUUAUCUGCCGUCACAUUCUAAAUUUCUAAACUGUUUUUGGAGUGGCUUAGAAUCUUUCACCACAUUUGUAUGGAUGGCAGUCAGUCUAAACAUCUUGGACUUGCUUCAAGCAUUCUCAAGCCAUAGUUUUUCAAGUUGGUUGAAUUAUCAGUACAGCCUAGAACUGGGAAGUAGGGAUCGACCGACUUAUCGGUUUUGCCGGCAAUAUCAGUAUCGGCCAAUAGAGAUACCGAUAAUACCUCCUAGGACCGCCAGG